GAGUGGGUAUGGGUGUGCAGCACACCACAGAUAAUUGUGGGUGUGUAUAAAUGUUGGUGUGAGUGACGGGGAUAUUGGAUAGUAUACAAGAUGGCCCUGCCAGCUGGACUCUGCUCUGUGUGUGUGUGCGCGCGCAACCGUUUGGCUAAAUUCAUGGAGCCCAGUCCGUCCUUGUCGGAGGGCAGCGGAGCACGGCGCCAGCUGAGACACAGCGGACAUGCUCGGGCUGUCUGGGAGAUUUCAUUAGAACGAGACAUGGCUGGCAUCCACCACAGAUACAGAGGGCAUGAUCUCUAUUCACCACUGCUGGAGUUACUCAGACAGCGGCUGCAUCUCAAUACUCUAAAGUGGCUUCCUCUCCUUUAUCUGAACUGAUCUGAAAAGAAAGUACCCUAAUAAAUUAUGCUUACCAGAUAAAGCUGUCACCGGCCCAGUUUAUUCCCUAUCAGUAAAAAGGAAAGGAGAGGAGGGGAGGAAAUCACUUUGGACUAUUGAGUUUUAUGGAGAGAGGGAGGAAAAGUAUGUACAGGAUACACAUGGUAUGCUGUAUAUCGUCCAACUAAAUUGUUACUUGCAGGUUCCUUCUUGACAAAGCAACAACAAUAAGAAAUAAAAUAUAUGAAUAGGAACAUAAAGUAAACGGCUCAGUAGAAUAGAAUAAACAUUUUAGCAUCGGAAUAAUACAGGAAGGCACAAUUUAUAGUACAAUAUUCGCACAUGUAUCGGGGAAGGGGGGAUUGGAGGACAAGUGAGGGAUAAAAAAAGAUAUGGAUGGUUGAGUUAAGAUGGAGCAAGAAAGCACUAUAGACAACAAGGGAGCAUGGAUAUAGCUAGAUACAUAGUCGACGACCACGGGAGUGAUGAAGAGCAAAGAGAGGACGGAACAGAGGUAGUGACGAUUAUUAGUACUUCAGAGCCGCUGUUAUGGAGACACAGCACCGCCAUGUGGACAACCGGCUGUAUUACAUCAAAAUCACCUAGUAACACUCCCUUCUAAGUCCUAUAACUGGACUACUGCCAUGUUGUAAAUCUUUCUGUCUCAUAAGACCUAUUAAACUAGACACAUUAAACAUGCCAUGUUCUGAACAAUAAUGACUUUAUAAAUGUCAGGGUAAACUACUCUUGAGAUCGUUUUAAGAAAUUGUCAUUUAUUAUUCACUGUUUUAGAUCGUUUUAGUGGGAAACCAAAGCGUUUGUAUUUUAUUUACAUGUUGUGGUCUAAUUGAAAACAACUGCUUUUUACAUGUGAAAAGGUCAUUGGAUGCUCCAUUGUUUACAUUACAGAGCGUUGCUAUAAGGUCAUCAGUACCACAGCCAUAAUUGUAAGCCUAACAACAUUCAAUCAUGGGACAACCAAUUACUUUCCCUGUGUAACUCUCCUCCAAUUAGCUGAGCUCCUCAUUGACAUUUAACACUCCCUCAUUUGCAUAAUCCCCUGUGCAAUGAUGGGGAGAAUAAUGAGAUGGGUCACACCGUGUGUGUACUUCUGUCUUGUGUAUAAUCUUAUUGUUAGUAUUGGUACUAGUGGUCAUGGUUCAUUAGAGAAAGGUACUACAGUCACUAUGUCUGAUUGUCUGCCUCCCCAUGUGACUAUAGUCUACACUAAUGUAGACCUUUCUUCUGUAAAGGCAGACACAUACUUUCUCUGCAUCUCGGCUUGCUCUCUCACACACGUCCACACUUUCUCUAUACCUCUCAUCCACACACACUUUCUUUGCACCUCUGUCUCACACACACACACCAUUGACUGUAGUUAGGCCUACUUCAUACUUGGGGAUUACAUUUUGAAUUCCGCUUUCAGAACCUUUCACCACAAAUGAAACGAUAUGUAUUGAAAUGCACUGUAGUUAUUCCUGUGCAUGUGGGACUACUCCAGCAUGUGAAUGUUAUCACUACUCUGUUGUUGUUCUCGCUCUCUUUUCUCUCUCUGUACAUGUCCCCUUAAACCUCCCUUCUAUUCUUUGUCUUCCUUCCUAUCUCACUUUUUCUCUCAUCCCUCUCUCUCUCUCUGCAGGCACUCGACUGCCAGUGAAGGGUCCCACUACAAGCGGUGUUAUAGGAGGGAUCAGUGGUUCUGCUGCUGGCCGUUAUCGGCAGUGUUGUGGUCUUGGUCCGUAAAAAACGCAACCAGCACAAUGGAGAUGGUCCACCCAAGUACAAGCCCCCUCCCCCUAAGAAGCAGCAGACCACCAGCAGCAGCAGCUCUACUGAUAGGCUGAACACCAGUCGAGACCCUGUGGAGAGCAAGGACGGAUCCAUGGACCACCUGUACUACGCUCCCCAGGAUGCCGAGCCCAGCACGGACUUGGACGCGUGUACAGUGAUGAGGAAUACAAUCGUGAUGCGGAGUUGCGCUACACUGGCGCCCCCUCUGGCUGGGAUGAACCCAGGCUGAACGAAGUCCCGCCCAUGUACGCCCCCAAUCAGUACAAGGCCAAUGAUUACCAGGACAACGAGGAGGACCACCCCCCUGCCACCGGAGCAUCUCGUGGAGACAGCUUUGUGUCCCAGGCCAUGUUUGUGUGAAGACGGGAGACAUUGGAAGUGUGUGUGGGACUAAACUUGUUUGUACGUGAAGAACAUCGGACACUGGAUGUGUGUGUCUGUGGGAUGGCUGCAGUGUGUGAUGGUUGUAGUCAUUGCUGUUCAAUCAGUGUCUCCAAUCUAGAAUUUUACAUUGUAAACUAAAGUGAGCGUAUAUAUUGGGUUCUAAUAACGGGAAUCAUGUCUUUUAAAGGGGGAUCCGCUUUACUGUUAAAAUGCUGUGCAAGUCAGACACAACAUAAAACAACACUAACUUGUAUCGCGGUUGGUUGAAACUCCUUUGCAUGGUGUGGUUAAAGUACAGUAUGUGUGUGUGAGAUUGUUUAAUAGGCACAGAUCCAGGGCCAGUUUACCCCCUUUGAAUCCUAACCAUUACCAUUAGGGGAUAACGCAACACUGACCUUGGAUCAGAUCAGUGUGUAUUGAUAGCUCCAUCAUACUGUGUAAUGUAGCUGGGGUCAGGAGACUAGUAGUAGUACACUACUCUGAGCUAAAGGCAGUAGGAUGAUGUUGCCUAUAGACACUGGUGGAAGGUCAGUUGUGUGUUUUACUCCCUAAGGAUUAUGUUUAAGAUUUUACAUAAUGUAAUCUGAUCCUAGAUCUGUGUCUAAGAUACAAUUCUGGAUUUCCGGAGCCCAAUACAAGCCAUAAGAGAUGGGCAAUCAAUUGCCUGAACAAAAAUCAAACAAUGUAAGUUACUGACAAUCUUGUGUAUAUAUAAAAAGGAAAUCUAUGUUACCUUUUAACAUUGACGUGUCUAAACAUUGAUGAUUUGUGCCUGUUCACUCAGGAUUUAAAAGCUCUAUUCACAUGCUCUACCACAGUAUGUUGGUUACAGAAUGUAUUACGUAGGCCUACUGUUGAAAUGUCCAAUAUUGUCAGGGUCUAGGUUUUUAUACAACUUCAGAGUCUUCUUCUCUAUACAAUCACUUAAUUGUUAAACCAGAUGUGCCUAUUUUUGUAGCGUGUCAGAUUUUAAAAUGUGAAUCAAACAGAAUUCUGAAUGAUUUUGUCAUCUUUGUGAGAGAUGGAUUUGACCUGUUUUUACUACGCUAUGUAUGUUUUUACAGCAAAGCCUGAUGUACUGGUUACUUGAUGAUUUUAAAUUCAUUAAACAUUU